UGGAGGACUGAGAAGGUUGAGCAGCUUGUUUAGUGCUACUACAACUGGUUAUAACCUCCAAGAGUAACAGACAAACUACACAAAGAUAAUGGCUCUGUCCAAAGCAGAGCUGAUUGUGUGUUUGUGGACAAAAU